rnacentral:rRNA from 1 species
AUUGAACGCUGGCGGCAGGCUUAACACAUGCAAGUCGAGCGAGCGGCGGACGGGUGAGUAAUGUCUGGGAACCUGCCUGAUGGAGGGGGAUAACUACUGGAACCGGUAGCUAAUACCGCAUACCAUCAGAUGUGCUCAGAUGGGAUUAGCUAGUAGGUGGGGUACUGGCUCACCUAGGCGAAGAUCCCUAGCUGGUCUGAGAGGAUGACCACCCACACUGGAACGGAAACACGGUCCAGACGCCUACGAGAGGCAGCAGUGGGGAAUAUUGCGCAAUGGGCGCAAGCCUGAUGCAGCCAUGCAGCGUGUGUGAAGAAGGCCUUCGGGUUGUAAAGCACUUUCAGCGAGGGGGCGUUACUCGCAGAAGAAGCACCGGCUAACUCCGUGCCAGCAGCCGCGGUAAUAC